rnacentral:sRNA from 1 species
UAUUCUGCCCUACAGGGAAGGAUGAGAAGCUUCGACUAAGGUUCGACUCGAGCGAAGCGAGAGA